CAGCAGUCGCCGCGGUAAUACGAAGGGUGCAAGCGUUACUCGGAAUUACUGGGCGUAAAGCGUGCGUAGGUGGUGGUUUAAGUCCGUUGUGAAAGCCCUGGGCUCAACCUGGGAAUUGCAGUGGAUACUGGGUCACUAGAGUGUGGUAGAGGAUAGUGGAAUUUCCGGUGUAGCAGUGAAAUGCGUAGAGAUCGGAAGGAACAUCUGUGGCGAAGGCGACUAUCUGGGCCAACACUGACACUGAGGCACGAAAGCGUGGGGAGCAAACAGGAUUAGAUACCCCAGUAGUCCCUGUCUCUUAUAC
rnacentral:rRNA from 1 species